AUGUCUUUUCUGUUUGUAUGUAUUUAUUACAUGAAGCUGGAACAUGAGUCCUACAGGGAGCUGGAAUAUUAUAUCCCUUUCCUGGGGAAUCGCCGUGUCUGUCCACAUGAUCCAGGAAGUUCUAGGCAUCUGGCAAAAAAGCAGUUAAGAGUACACCACUGUCAGUCAUCUGGAAAUCCUUUCACUUUUAACCUUUCCGUGGCAUUUCACUGCAUGUGGGCUUUUCGUAAACAGCACUUAUCCUCCACUACCAGAAGCCAGCCAACAAGGGUGUCCACAGAGCCAACCUUCAGGACACAGAGCAGGGUAGGAAAAUGGGUGGGUGGAGACUGGGGAUGAAGAGCUGGCACACCCUUCUAACUGAACAGAUGAGGAGAUGGAGGCCUAGACAGGGGAAGGACUUGCCGAAAGUCUUUUAGCAAUUGAAGGACAAAAUGAAGGCUUUACCCCCAGACCUCUUCAUUCCCAUAUUUGAUCUCAAAACUAUACUGCUUUCGGGCGCCUGGAUGGCUCAGUUGGUUAAGUGGCCGACUUUGGCUCAGGACACAGGUUCAAGCCCCGCGUCAGGCUCUGUGCUGACAGCUCAGGGCCUGGAGCCUGCUGCAGAUUCUGUGUGUCUCUUUGCCCCUCCCCUGCUCACGCUCUGUCUCUCUCUUUCUCUCAAAAACAAAUAAAAAAGCAUUAAAAAAAAUUAAAAACA
rnacentral:lncRNA from 1 species